rnacentral:lncRNA from 1 species
AUUAGGACAACCCUCUUUGUUGUUUACCAAGGUAAGGCGAAGGGCAAAACCCAUAUGUAAAUUCCAACUCCACAUGUCCUCGUGCAUCAUGCAAAAUGUAUCGAGGUUCAGGCAGUGAUCAAACAUCAAAUAGACUUAUGCAUUAAUUAUCAUGUUUAUUAAUGCCAUAUACAUAGACAAGCAGUUAUCCUGGCAGGAUUAUAUGCAUUGUCAUCACUUGAGUACGAUCAUCAUACAUUAUACCAUAAAUAAUCAUAUUAUGUCAGUUUUACCUUCGAAACUCAACGGGGCUCAU